AGUGUAGCCAUCUUCUGCUCGAGGGCACUUAGCUCGCUCGGCUGGUUGUUAGAUGUUUCUGCUGUUCAUCACAACCUCCUUGAGUGAGUUGAAAGCCCUCAUGCUGACGAAGCGAUCUUCAU
rnacentral:precursor_RNA from 9 species